GUCGGCGAGUGGCGAACGGGUGAGUAAUGCAUCGGAACGUGCCCAGUAGCGGGGGAUAACUACGCGAAAGCGUAGCUAAUACCGCAUACGCCCUACGGGGGAAAGGGGGGGAUCGCAAGACCUCUCACUAUUGGAGCGGCCGAUGUCGGAUUAGCUAGUUGGUGGGGUAAAGGCCUACCAAGGCGACGAUCCGUAGCUGGUUUGAGAGGACGACCAGCCACACUGGGACUGAGACACGGCCCAGACUCCUACGGGAGGCAGCAGUGGGGAAUUUUGGACAAUGGGGGCAACCCUGAUCCAGCCAUGCCGCGUGUGCGAAGAAGGCCUUCGGGUUGUAAAGCACUUUUGCAGGAAAGAAACGGCGCCCUAAUAUCUGGCGUAACUGACGGUACCUGAGAAUAAGCACCGGCUAACUAGUGCCAGCAGCCGCGGUAAUACGUAGGGUGCAAGCGUUAAUCGGAAUUACUGGGCGUAAAGCGUGCGCAGGCGGUUCGGAAAGAAAGAUGUGAAAUCCCAGGGCUCAACCUUGGAACUGCAUUUUUAACUCCCGAACUAGAGUGUGUCAGAGGGGGGGGAAUUCCACGUGUAGCAGUGAAAUGCGUAGAUAUGUGGAGGAACACCGAUGGCGAAGGCAGCCCCCUGGGAUAACACUGACGCUCAUGCACGAAAGCGUGGGGAGCAAACAGGAUUAGAUACCCUGGUAGUCCACGCCCUAAACGAUGUCAACUAGCUGUUGGGUUCUUCGGAGCUUGGUAGCGCAGCUAACGCGUGAAGUUGACCGCCUGGGGAGUACGGUCGCAAGAUUAAAACUCAAAGGAAUUGACGGGGACCCGCACAAGCGGUGGAUGAUGUGGAUUAAUUCGAUGCAACGCGAAAAACCUUACCUACCCUUGACAUGUCUGGAAUCCCGAAGAGAUUUGGGAGUGCUCGAAAGAGAACCGGAACACAGGUGCUGCAUGGCCGUCGUCAGCUCGUGUCGUGAGAUGUUGGGUUAAGUCCCGCAACGAGCGCAACCCUUGUCAUUAGUUGCUACGAAAGGGCACUCUAAUGAGACUGCCGGUGACAAACCGGAGGAAGGUGGGGAUGACGUCAGGUCCUCAUGGCCCUUAUGGGUAGGGCUUCACACGUCAUACAAUGGUCGGGACAGAGGGCAGCCAACCCGCGAGGGGGAGCCAAUCCCAGAAACCCGAUCGUAGUCCGGAUUGCAGUCUGCAACUCGACUGCAUGAAGUCGGAAUCGCUAGUAAUCGCGGAUCAGCAUGUCGCGGUGAAUACGUUCCCGGGUCUUGUACACACCGCCCGUCACACCAUGGGAGUGGGUUCUACCAGAAGUAUAGCCUAACCGCAAGGAGGGCCUUACCGUAGGUUUGACGGAGUAGUAUAGG
rnacentral:rRNA from 1 species